AGAGUUUGAUCCUGGCUCAGGAUGAACGCUAGCGGCAGGCCUAAUACAUGCAAGUCGAACGGUAAGAUCUCGCUUGCGAGAUACACGAGUGGCGCACGGGUGCGUAACGCGUAUGCAACCUACCUUCAACUGGGGAAUAGCCCCGAGAAAUCGGGAUUAAUACCCCAUAACGUCCAACCUUCGCAUGUUGGUUGGAUUAAAGUCCCGGCGGUUGAAGAUGGGCAUGCGUGACAUUAGUUUGUUGGUGAGGUAACGGCUCACCAAGACUACGAUGUCUAGGGGUUCUGAGAGGAUUUUCCCCCACACUGGUACUGAGACACGGACCAGACUCCUACGGGAGGCAGCAGUAAGGAAUAUUGGUCAAUGGACGAAAGUCUGAACCAGCCAUGCCGCGUGCAGGAUGACAGCCCUACGGGUUGUAAACUGCUUUUACACGGGAAGAAUCCCCUGUACGUGUACAGGGUUGACGGUACCGUAUGAAUAAGCAUCGGCUAACUCCGUGCCAGCAGCCGCGGUAAUACGGAGGAUGCAAGCGUUAUCCGGAUUCAUUGGGUUUAAAGGGUGCGUAGGCGGAAUGAUAAGUUAGUGGUGAAAUACCCCGGCUCAACCGGGGAACUGCCAUUAAUACUGUCAUUCUUGAGUAUAGUUGAAGUGGGCGGAAUGUAUCAUGUAGCGGUGAAAUGCUUAGAUAUGAUACAGAACACCGAUAGCGUAGGCAGCUUGCUAAGCUAUAACUGACGCUCAGGCACGAAAGCGUGGGGAGCAAACAGGAUUAGAUACCCUGGUAGUCCACGCUGUAAACGAUGAUCACUCGCUGUUGGCGAUACACAGUCAGCGGCUGAGGGAAACCAUUAA
rnacentral:rRNA from 1 species